CCCUAGGGGGAUGACGGUACCUGAAGAAUAAGCACCGGCUAACUACGUGCCAGCAGCCGCGGUAAUACGUAGGGUGCAUGCGUUAAUCGGAAUUACUGGGCGUAAAGCGUGCGCAGGCGGUUGUGUAAGACAGGUGUGAAAUCCCCGGGCUUAACCUGGGAAUUGCAUUUGUGACUGCACGACUAGAGUGUGUCAGAGGGGGGUGGAAUUCCACGUGUAGCAGUGAAAUGCGUAGAUAUGUGGAGGAACACCAAUGGCGAAGGCAGCCCCCUG
rnacentral:rRNA from 1 species